UAAGCGGAGGAAAAGAAACCAACAGGGAUUGCCUCAGUAACGGCGAGUGAAGCGGCAACAGCUCAAAUUUGAAAUCUGGCUCUUUUAGGGUCCGAGUUGUAAUUUGUAGAAGAUGCUUCGGGUGUGGCUCCGGUCUAAGUUCCUUGGAACAGGACGUCAUAGAGGGUGAGAAUCCCGUAUGUGACUGGCUGCCUUCGCCUAUGUGAAGCUCUUUCGACGAGUCGAGUUGUUUGGGAAUGCAGCUCAAAAUGGGUGGUAAAUUUCAUCUAAAGCUAAAUAUUGGCCAGAGACCGAUAGCGCACAAGUAGAGUGAUCGAAAGAUGAAAAGCACUUUGGAAAGAGAGUUAAACAGUACGUGAAAUUGUUGAAAGGGAAGCGCUUGCAACCAGACUUGCAUACGGUUAAUCAUCCGGUGUUCUCACUGGUGCACUUGACCGUGUUCAGGCCAGCAUCGGUUCAGGUGGUAGGAUAAAGGCCUUGGGAAUGUAGCUUCUUUC
rnacentral:rRNA from 1 species